rnacentral:rRNA from 1 species
UAGUUGGUGAGGUAAAGGCUCACCAAGGCGACGAUCCCUAGCUGGUCUGAGAGGAUGAUCAGCCACACUGGAACUGAGACACGGUCCAGACUCCUACGGGAGGCAGCAGUGGGGAAUAUUGCACAAUGGGCGCAAGCCUGAUGCAGCCAUGCCGCGUGURUGAAGAAGGCCUUCGGGUUGUAAAGYACUUUCAGUCGUGAGGAAGGGUGUGUAUUUAAUAGAUGCGCACUUUACGUUAGCGACAGAAGAAGCACCGGCUAACUCCGUGCCAGCAGCCGCGGUAAUACGGGGGUGCGAGCGUUAAUCGGAAUUACUGGGCGUAAAGCGCAUGCAGGUGGUUCGUUAAGUCAGAUGUGAAAGCCCGGGGCUCAACCUCGGAAUAGCAUUUGAAACUGGCGAACUAGAGUACUGUAGAGGGGGGUAGAAUUUCAGGUGUAGCGGUGAAAU